rnacentral:rRNA from 1 species
GACGAACGCUGGCGGCGUGCUUAACACAUGCAAGUCGAACGGAAAGGCCCUGCUUUUGUGGGGUGCUUGAGUGGCGAACGGGUGAGUAACACGUGAGUAACCUGCCCUUGACUUUGGGAUAACUUCAGGAAACUGGGGCUAAUACCGGAUAGGCGCUCCUGCUGCAUGGUGGGGGUUGGAAAGUUUCGGCGGUUGGGGAUGGACUCGCGGCUUAUCAGCUUGUUGGUGGGGUAGUGGCUUACCAAGGCUUUGACGGGUAGCCGGCCUGAGAGGGUGACCGGCCACAUUGGGACUGGGAUACGGCCCAGACUCCUACGGGAGGCAGCAGUGGGGAAUAUUGCACAAUGGGCGGAAGCCUGAUGCAGCAACGCCGCGUGCGGGAUGACGGCCUUCGGUUUGUAAACCGCUUUCGCCUGUGACGAAGCGUGAGUGACGGUAAUGGGUAAAGAAGCACCGGCUAACUACGUG